rnacentral:lncRNA from 1 species
CGGGAAAAGAACUUCAAUGUACGCCAGCUUUCCCACGCAGUACGUCACAAAGCCCAUGGCCAUGCUUUUGGCUUAAGAGUUAAUUAAGGCCAUUGUUUUAGCGCAGUGCAAGUUGUUUUAUGUGAAGGAGUUUUUAAUUACUGAUUACAGUAAGGCUUUUUGUAAUGCUAUACUGGGAAAAUAGUCACAUUUUUAGGGGUAUACUUUACUAGGCUAUGCUUUAAGCUGAAUAAUUUGACCGGCCAGAAAUUCGGUAUGUCCGAGCUAAAAUUGAAUUGGUCGGUCACCUUGACCGGCGAUCCUCCAGCCGUUAUUUCGCGCCCUGCAGACCAUGGAUGGAUCCAGGCAAAUCUGGUAGGGGGAAUAGGGGGUGCUCAUUGUGCAUUGGUUAUGGUUGAGGGUGCGACCGUUUUGAACAAGUGCGUAACUAGCCUGCGUGCAGGCCCAAGGGAACUGAUAGUGGGCCUGCAGGCAAGGCCCGGUAUUUUGUAAAACGCCCCUUUUCAUAACACGCCCCAUUCGCACG